rnacentral:rRNA from 1 species
GUGGUAGGAGAGCGUUCUAUUCAGCGUUGAAGGUAUACCGGUAAGGAGUGCUGGAGCGGAUAGAAGUGAGCAUGCAGGCAUGAGUAGCGAUAAAAGGGGUGAGAAUCCCCUUCGCCGUAAACCCAAGGUUUCCUACGCGAUGCUCGUCAUCGUAGGGUUAGUCGGGUCCUAAGCAAAGUCCAAAAGGGGUAUGCGAUGGAAAAUCGGUUAAUAUUCCGAUACCAAUAUUAGUGUGCGAUGGAAGGACGCUUAAAGUUAGUGGAGCUAGCGGAUGGAAGUGCUAGUCUAAGGAUGUAGAUUAAGUGGUAGGCAAAUCCGCCACUUUUUAUUCGAGAUCUUAAAGGCUCUCCAAAGUCUUCGGAUAGCGGGGAGAAUCCAUGAUACUAUCGAGCCAAGAAAAGUUUCUAAGUUUAGCUAAUAUUGCCCGUACCGUAAACCGACACAGGUGGGUGGGAUGAGUAUUCUAAGGCGCGUGGAAGAACUCUCUUUAAGGAACUCUGCAAAAUAGCACCGUAUCUUCGGUAUAAGGUGUGCCUAACUUUGUAUUAAGAUUCACUCCCAAAGCAAAGAAGGUUACAACAAAGAGUCCCUCCCGACUGUUUACCAUAAACACAGCACUCUGCUAACACGUAAGUGGAUGUAUAGGGUGUGACGCCUGCCCGGUGCUCGAAGGUUAAUUGAUGGGGUUAGCAUUAGCGAAGCUCUUGAUCGAAGCCCGAGUAAACGGCGGCCGUAACUAUAACGGUCCUAAGGUAGCGAAAUUCCUUGUCGGUUAAAUACCGACCUGCAUGAAUGGCGUAACGAGAUGGGAGCUGUCUCAAAGAGGGAUCCAGUGAAAUUGUAGUGGAGGUGAAAAUUCCUCCUACCCGCGGCAAGACGGAAAGACCCCGUGGACCUUUACUACAGCUUGACACUGCUAUUUGGAUAAAGAUGCGCAGGAUAGGUGGGAGGCUUUGAUCCAUAGACUCCGGUUUAUGGUGAGCCAUUGUUGAGAUACCACUCUUCUUUAUUUGAGUAGCUAACUAGCUUGCGUUAUCCGCAAGUAGGACAAUGUCUGGUGGGUAGUUUGACUGGGGCGGUCGCCUCCCAAAAUGUAACGGAGGCUUACAAAGGUUGGCUCAGAACGGUUGGAAAUCGUUCGUAGAGUAUAAAGGCAUAAGCCAGCUUAACUGCAAGACAUACACGUCAAGCAGAGACGAAAGUCGGUCUUAGUGAUCCGGUGGUUCUGUGUGGAAGGGCCAUCGCUCAAAGGAUAAAAGGUACCCCGGGGAUAACAGGCUGAUCUCCCCCAAGAGCUCACAUCGACGGGGAGGUUUGGCACCUCGAUGUCGGCUCAUCGCAUCCUGGGGCUGGAGCAGGUCCCAAGGGUAUGGCUGUUCGCCAUUUAAAGCGGUACGCGAGCUGGGUUCAGAACGUCGUGAGACAGUUCGGUCCCUAUCUGCCGUGGGCGUAAGAAGAUUGAGGAGAGUUGACCCUAGUACGAGAGGACCGGGUUGAACCAGCCACUGGUGUAUCAGUUGUUCUGCCAAGAGCAUCGCUGAGUAGCUAAGCUGGGAUGUGAUAAGAGCUGAAAGCAUCUAAGCUCGAAGCCAACUCCAAGAUGAAUCUUCUUUUAAGAGCUCUAGUAGACUACUAGUUUGAUAGGCUGGGUGUGUAAGUGAUGAGAGUCAUUUAGCUGACCAGUACUAAUAGCUCGUUUGCUUAUCUUUAU